GCUUACUUUGACGUUUGCGAAUCAUGGCGAACAGAGUAAGGCAAUUCAACGAUGCAAAAGGAAUAUUCUGAGGACAAGCGAUUCAACUUUAAGAUAUGCCUGGUAGUGGUCCUAAAAAUUAUCCUUGUACACUCUGCAAGAAGCGAACAAAGCCAGAUGAAAGGAGACCAAAGACCUGGUCCCAAACUUGUUGUGGUUCCUGCACAGACCAGGUUCACUUUUUUCCUAGAGCAGAACAUUUUGAUAUCUUCAGGUGCUCGUUGUUGUCCAGCCCACAUUGUAAAUGACACCAUCAACACAGAGUCAAUAGAAAAUCUGGUUCCACCCAAAGAUACAAGUUUUGUCAACAGGACGACUAUCAUGGAACUUGUAGAACAACUUAGAGAAGAGGCCCUACAAAGAGGAUCCAAGAGAAUAUAGAUUUCGAUGACCCUUCAUCAUUGUCAGACAGGGACUAUCUCACUUUGACUGGGCUUAGGAAGUGCGACUUUGAUGACUUGCUAUUGCAUGUUCAAUCGGCAGAUGUAAGACCAUCAAAGACAAGAACUGUGAGAACUUGCUUAGCAAUUUUUCUGACCAAAAUGAAGACAGCAAUGGACAAUAACAUGCUGGGAGUUUUGUUCAACAUGUCAAAACCUCAGAUAAGGCGAGCUGUAUCUUCUAUAAGACAAGUCCUGUCCAACAAGUUUGUCCCAAACCACUUGGGUUUCAAACACAUCACCAGAGAUGCUGUGAUUAGUGAGCACACAAGACCUCUUGCUAAGGAACUUUUUUCUCCCACCAUCAACCAAGCCAUACUGGUCCUUGAUGGAACAUACAUAUAUGUUCAAAAAAGUUCACAGUUUUCCUUUCAAAGGCGGUCAUAUAGUAUGCAGAAACAAAGACAUCUGUUGAAACCAAUGAUGAUUGUCACCACCACGGGGUACAUUGUUUCUGCCAUAGGACCAUAUUUAGCUGAUGGCAGAAAUUCUGAUGCCAAAAUCCUCAACCAUAUCAUUGGUACAGACACGGAAGAAAUCAAAACGUGGCUCCAAGAGGAUGACAUUUUGAUAGUGGACAGGGGCAUCAGAGACUCAGCAGGUGUAUUAGCUGAUCUCGGUAUCCAGAUGGAGAUGCCGUCCUUUUUACAAAAAGGACAUAAGCAACACAAAACUGAAGAUGCCAAUAGUUCUCGGUUGAUUACAAAGAUAAGAUGGGUAGUGGAAUCCGUAAAUGCAAGAAUUAAGACAUGGCGCUACUUGGCAAGACAGCUCCCGAAUUCUCAAAUUCCAUAUGUUGGGGAAUAUGUACGAAUCAUCAGUGCUCUCUGCAACAAAUACAGGCCACCUCUUAGCAGUGGAGAUGAAGAGAAUGACUUGCAGACAGCUGCAAAGAUGCGUCACCUCUCUACACAGACUAAUCUGCUGCAGACUGAGGUAGAAUCAAAUAAUUUGCAGAAGAAACGAUAUGUCUGGAGAAGGAUCGAUGACGAGAACAUUGAUGUCUCCGACUUUCCCCGAUAUACAGAAGAGGAAAUCCGGGAACUAACUCUUGGAGUUUACCAAGUUAAGUUGGCGAAACAUUACACCCAGGAACACAUGAGCCAAGAAGGGUAUGAACUUUGGGUCGAUCAUCACCAACCAGGUCUCCUUGCUGUUAAGAUCCAAAGUAGGCAUACAUCAAGCAAAUCCUACCUAUGCUGGAUUAGAUUUGAAGAGGGAGCAGUGAUUUUGUGGUAUUGUUGUUGCAAAUCAGGCGCAAGAGUAGUUGGAAUGUGUGCACACAUUGCCAGUGUUAUAUGGUAUUUGUCUUUUGCCAGACACUCCUGCGUAAAUCUUGAACUAAGCAAGAACUGGUUGGACUCUGUAUGUGAUGCAGCCAUUAUUCCUGAGGUUGUUGAUGAAAGUGACAGUGCGUCUGAAGCCACGGAGGAAUGACAUUGAAUGUAUCUAGUUGUAUACUGGGGUAUUUUUGCAAUUCAAGUGUGUUUAUUAUUUGUUUAUUCAUGUCCAGAUUUGUUCACUUGGUGCUUUUUUAAAACCCUGGAACUUGAUGCCACCUUGGUUAAGAUGCAAGUAUAUGUCCUAAAAUUCAUUUUUACAUAAUUAUGUGAAUUUGUAUACAUGUGUAUUAUGCUCUCAUCUGUUAUUCACUUUUUAAAACAUUUAUAAAUUAUAAUUGUGUAAAUUAAUGUACAUAUAGAAUACAUUACUGCUACUCUAAAUAGAUUCAAACAUUUAACUUUAAGUUAAACUUAAUUUAUUUUGUCAGAUUAAAGAUUAAAAAGCUUGCAUCGUAAAUACGUGUACAUGUAGGGCAUGUAUAAGUUAUAAUGCCAUUAAUGAUGUAGUUUUUAAUUAUUUCUUUUUUAAAUACUGUUUAUUUUGAGGGCUUCACAAACAAUAUGUCAUUUAUAUCAUUGACUUUCACCUGACAUUUAUCAAGCAAUCCUUCAUAACUUGUUAUUAAUGGCCAUAUUAGGGAAAAUGUGCUUGUAUUACCAUAUAGAUCUGUUGUUGAAUUUCUAGUGCAAAAAGGUCAAAUCUAAUGCAGAGAUGGAUUAUGUGUUUGUUCUUAUUAUCUUUAAUUGUGAAUAAACCUCUUUACAAACAUAU
rnacentral:sRNA from 1 species